rnacentral:rRNA from 1 species
GUGCCAGCCGCCGCGGUAAUACGUAGGUGGCAAGCGUUAUCCGGAAUUAUUGGGCGUAAAGCGCGCGUAGGCGGUUUUUUAAGUCUGAUGUGAAAGCCCACGGCUCAACCGUGGAGGGUCAUUGGAAACUGGAAAACUUGAGUGCGGAAGAGGAAAGUGGAAUUCCAUGUGUAGCGGUGAAAUGCGCAGAGAUAUGGAGGAACACCAGUGGCGAAGGCGACUUUCUGGUCUGUAACUGACGCUGAUGUGCGAAAGCGUGGGGAUCAA